GGUUAAGCGACUAAGCGUACACGGUGGAUGCCCUGGCAGUCAGAGGCGAUGAAGGACGUGCUAAUCUGCGAUAAGCGUCGGUAAGGUGAUAUGAACCGUUAUAACCGGCGAUUUCCGAAUGGGGAAACCCAGUGUGUUUCGACACACUAUCAUUAACUGAAUCCAUAGGUUAAUGAGGCGAACCGGGGGAACUGAAACAUCUAAGUACCCCGAGGAAAAGAAAUCAACCGAGAUUCCCCCAGUAGCGGCGAGCGAACGGGGAGCAGCCCAGAGCCUGAAUCAGUAUGUGUGUUAGUGGAAGCGUCUGGAAAGGCGCGCGAUACAGGGUGACAGCCCCGUACACAAAAAUGCACAUAUUGUGAGCUCGAUGAGUAGGGCGGGACACGUGGUAUCCUGUCUGAAUAUGGGGGGACCAUCCUCCAAGGCUAAAUACUCCUGACUGACCGAUAGUGAACCAGUACCGUGAGGGAAAGGCGAAAAGAACCCCGGCGAGGGGAGUGAAAAAGAACCUGAAACCGUGUACGUACAAGCAGUGGGAGCACGCUUAGGCGUGUGACUGCGUACCUUUUGUAUAAUGGGUCAGCGACUUAUAUUCUGUAGCAAGGUUAACCGAAUAGGGGAGCCGAAGGGAAACCGAGUCUUAACUGGGCGUUAAGUUGCAGGGUAUAGACCCGAAACCCGGUGAUCUAGCCAUGGGCAGGUUGAAGGUUGGGUAACACUAACUGGAGGACCGAACCGACUAAUGUUGAAAAAUUAGCGGAUGACUUGUGGCUGGGGGUGAAAGGCCAAUCAAACCGGGAGAUAGCUGGUUCUCCCCGAAAGCUAUUUAGGUAGCGCCUCGUGAAUUCAUCUCCGGGGGUAGAGCACUGUUUCGGCAAGGGGGUCAUCCCGACUUACCAACCCGAUGCAAACUGCGAAUACCGGAGAAUGUUAUCACGGGAGACACACGGCGGGUGCUAACGUCCGUCGUGAAGAGGGAAACAACCCAGACCGCCAGCUAAGGUCCCAAAGUCAUGGUUAAGUGGGAAACGAUGUGGGAAGGCCCAGACAGCCAGGAUGUUGGCUUAGAAGCAGCCAUCAUUUAAAGAAAGCGUAAUAGCUCACUGGUCGAGUCGGCCUGCGCGGAAGAUGUAACGGGGCUAAACCAUGCACCGAAGCUGCGGCAGCGACGCUGAUGCGUUGUUGGGUAGGGGAGCGUUCUGUAAGCCUGCGAAGGUGUGCUGUGAGGCAUGCUGGAGGUAUCAGAAGUGCGAAUGCUGACAUAAGUAACGAUAAAGCGGGUGAAAAGCCCGCUCGCCGGAAGACCAAGGGUUCCUGUCCAACGUUAAUCGGGGCAGGGUGAGUCGACCCCUAAGGCGAGGCCGAAAGGCGUAGUCGAUGGGAAACAGGUUAAUAUUCCUGUACUUGGUGUUACUGCGAAGGGGGGACGGAGAAGGCUAUGUUGGCCGGGCGACGGUUGUCCCGGUUUAAGCGUGUAGGCUGGUUUUCCAGGCAAAUCCGGAAAAUCAAGGCUGAGGCGUGAUGACGAGGCACUACGGUGCUGAAGCAACAAAUGCCCUGCUUCCAGGAAAAGCCUCUAAGCAUCAGGUAACAUCAAAUCGUACCCCAAACCGACACAGGUGGUCAGGUAGAGAAUACCAAGGCGCUUGAGAGAACUCGGGUGAAGGAACUAGGCAAAAUGGUGCCGUAACUUCGGGAGAAGGCACGCUGAUAUGUAGGUGAGGUCCCUCGCGGAUGGAGCUGAAAUCAGUCGAAGAUACCAGCUGGCUGCAACUGUUUAUUAAAAACACAGCACUGUGCAAACACGAAAGUGGACGUAUACGGUGUGACGCCUGCCCGGUGCCGGAAGGUUAAUUGAUGGGGUUAGCGCAAGCGAAGCUCUUGAUCGAAGCCCCGGUAAACGGCGGCCGUAACUAUAACGGUCCUAAGGUAGCGAAAUUCCUUGUCGGGUAAGUUCCGACCUGCACGAAUGGCGUAAUGAUGGCCAGGCUGUCUCCACCCGAGACUCAGUGAAAUUGAACUCGCUGUGAAGAUGCAGUGUACCCGCGGCAAGACGGAAAGACCCCGUGAACCUUUACUAUAGCUUGACACUGAACAUUGAGCCUUGAUGUGUAGGAUAGGUGGGAGGCUUAGAAGUGUGGACGCCAGUCUGCAUGGAGCCGACCUUGAAAUACCACCCUUUAAUGUUUGAUGUUCUAACGUUGACCCGUAAUCCGGGUUGCGGACAGUGUCUGGUGGGUAGUUUGACUGGGGCGGUCUCCUCCUAAAGAGUAACGGAGGAGCACGAAGGUUGGCUAAUCCUGGUCGGACAUCAGGAGGUUAGUGCAAUGGCAUAAGCCAGCUUGACUGCGAGCGUGACGGCGCGAGCAGGUGCGAAAGCAGGUCAUAGUGAUCCGGUGGUUCUGAAUGGAAGGGCCAUCGCUCAACGGAUAAAAGGUACUCCGGGGAUAACAGGCUGAUACCGCCCAAGAGUUCAUAUCGACGGCGGUGUUUGGCACCUCGAUGUCGGCUCAUCACAUCCUGGGGCUGAAGUAGGUCCCAAGGGUAUGGCUGUUCGCCAUUUAAAGUGGUACGCGAGCUGGGUUUAGAACGUCGUGAGACAGUUCGGUCCCUAUCUGCCGUGGGCGCUGGAGAACUGAGGGGGGCUGCUCCUAGUACGAGAGGACCGGAGUGGACGCAUCACUGGUGUUCGGGUUGUCAUGCCAAUGGCACUGCCCGGUAGCUAAAUGCGGAAGAGAUAAGUGCUGAAAGCAUCUAAGCACGAAACUUGCCCCGAGAUGAGUUCUCCCUGACUCCUUGAGAGUCCUGAAGGAACGUUGAAGACGACGACGUUGAUAGGCCGGGUGUGUAAGCGCAGCGAUGCGUUGAGCUAACCGGUACUAAUGAACCGUGAGGCUUAACCUU
rnacentral:rRNA from 1 species